CCUACGGGUGGCUGCAGUGAGGACUAUUGGGCAAUGGAGGCAACUCUGACCCAGCCAUGCCGCGUGAGUGAAGAAGGUUUUCGGAUUGUAAAACUCCUUCGGAUUUGAAGUUGAUGACGCUAGCAUCGAAAGAAGCUACUGCUAACUUCGUUCCAGCAGACGCGGUAAUACGAAGGGGGCCAGAGUUGUUCGGAAUUACUGGGCGUAAAGGGAGUGUAGGCGGUUUAGUAAGAUAGUGGUGAAAUCCCAGGGCUUAACUUUGGAAUUGCCAUUAUAACUAUUAGACUACAAUUACAGAGGGGAUAGUGGAAUUCCCAGUGUCGAGGUGAAAUUCGUAGAUAUUGGGUAGAACACCAGUGGCGAAGGCGACUAUCUGGCUGUACAUUGACGCUGAGGCUCGAAAGCAUGGGGAUCAAACAGGAUUAGAUACCCUUGUAGUC
rnacentral:rRNA from 1 species